GCCUCCAUAGCUCAGUUGGUUAGAGCGGCAGUUUUGUAAACUGUAGGUCGUCGGUUCAAUUCCGGCUGGAGGCU
rnacentral:tRNA from 1 species